rnacentral:rRNA from 1 species
CAGUCGCCGCGGGAAUACCGAGGGUGCGAGCGUUGUCCGGAAUUAUUGGGCGUAAAGGGCUCGUAGGCGGUUUGUCGCGUCGGGAGUGAAAACCAGCAGCUUAACUGCUGGCCUGCUUUCGAUACGGGCAGACUUGAGGCAUUCAGGGGAGAACGGAAUUCCUGGUGUAGCGGUGAAAUGCGCAGAUAUCAGGAGGAACACCGGUGGCGAAGGCGGUUCUCUGGGAAUGUUCUGACGCUGAGGAGCGAAAGUGUGGGGAGCGAACAGGAUUAGAGACCCCUGUAGUCCCUGUCUCUUAUAU